rnacentral:tRNA from 1 species
GCCAUCGUGGCGCAAUGGUAGCGCAUCACCUUCCUAAGGUGGGAGUUGCGGGUUCGAGCCCCGUCGGUGGUA